GAGUUUGAUCAUGGCUCAGAUUGAACGCUGGCGGCAUGCUUUACACAUGCAAGUCGAACGGCAGCACGGGCUUCGGCCUGGUGGCGAGUGGCGAACGGGUGAGUAAUAUAUCGGAACGUACCCAAGAGUGGGGGAUAACGUAGCGAAAGUUACGCUAAUACCGCAUACGAUCUAUGGAUGAAAGCGGGGGAUCGCAAGACCUCGUGCUCCUGGAGCGGCCGAUAUCUGAUUAGCUAGUUGGUGAGGUAAAGGCUCACCAAGGCGACGAUCAGUAGCUGGUNUGAGAGGACGACCAGCCACACUGGAACUGAGACACGGUCCAGACUCCUACGGGACGCAGCAGA
rnacentral:rRNA from 1 species